GUUUGUGGUAACCAUAGAACACAGAAGUGGAGCUUUAUCCAGAGUGGUAAAGCUAAAACAGACAGCUAGGGUGAGUGAGAAAUGCCGAAUACUUAGAAAAAAAAUAGAAAAGGGUCAAGAUGGAAACCAAAGGCAGAAGUGAGAAGUUAUACAAGCUAGGAAGUUCACAGAAGACAGAGGAUGAACUAGGUCUCAAGAGUCCAGCAUCUGAGACUCUAGGAUCAAGCUAAAGACAAAGUGAAGCUUUCUCUAUUUUUUUCUUAAAUAUUUCCUUUCUAGAAAAGAAAAAAACAACCCAAUCUGCAUUUGAAGAACUGGCCAUAUAGUUGUGUGGAAAGUGGGUGAAAUAACAAGGAAACGACAAAGAAUAUGGCCAGUCUAGUUAAUUUCUUGAGCAGGAAACUGGAUCAGUUAACGGAAACAAAUAACGUAGUAAUGGCUAUCAACAUUCAUUCUUCUUGGCCCCCAGGAAUAAGCAGUGCCUCCUGGGGUGGCCAGAUACAUGUAUACUGAUCCGUGUCAUCGGAAAGAAGGAGGGGAUCUACUGGAUUCUGAUUUGGGAUCCAAUUCAGAAUGGAUCAUACAGUCAGGGAAGUUAUAAUGCAGUAUAAGUAACGAACGUCUCCAUUCCUAAUGUAAUGUGAAGGCUGCACUGCAUGGGCUCCAAAGUCCCAUCUACCUCUAACCUUCUGGACAUGUGGGUCAAGGAAUAAAAACUCUGGCAGGCAACAAAAAGGAUGGGAAAUGUGACAGGCACAGAGAUGUGCUACUCAGAUCACCCUUCAGGAAAGGACUUGCCUGCCAUCCAGCUGUGUGACGUGUGGGCAGCCGACAGGUUUCAGCUGUUAGAGCCUUUAGGCUCCAUCUCACUCUCGAGCUCAUGGAUUGCUCAGAGCAGAGCUUGGUCAAUAGUGGAACAAGGUGGUGACACCAAGGCUUAGCCCAGUGACUCCUGUGCUGAGCGAUCUUUGCUCCAGAGUUCCCCAUUGGUCUGGCAGAGACUGUCAGGUCUGCAUGAGGGUCUACCCAAUCCAACUUCCCUCCCUUUACUUGUACAGAGUUCCCUCUCUAAGACACCUUUUGUACUUCUAACUCCCUCUUAGGAUCUGCUUCCUGGAGAACCCCCAUGGUGACAGAGGAUGAGUUGCAAACAAAGUGGCAUGCAAUGCAGAAGAGGGUGUGAUGGAUCCAACCACUGGGGGAACUGAGGAAGGUGAAGUCAUGAAGGAAACUGCAUUUGAGUUGACUCUGAAGAUGAACAGGAGUUGAAUGAGUAGGAAAGAAGAAAAUAGGCAUUUCAAGCAGCGGGAUGGACACAUGCACAAAGGCAUGUUAUAAAGAGCAGGAUGUGGGAGCAUGGGUAAUGCAUGGAACCAUGUGGACGUGUGCAGUGGUCGGGGUGGGGGAUGAAGCGGGGAGAUAAAGCUGGGAAAUACGGGAUCCAACAUAAACAGCUGUCACAAACACUCUAUGUAUAUACUCCUAUUGGUUUGUAGACUCUGAUAAAGGGAAAUGGUAGUCCUGGGAGAAGAAUGAGCUGUACAAAGCAAUAAAAUAUGUAGAAUUCCAUAGCAUAGUAUUUUUGACAGCCCUAAAACAGAUAUUUUACUUCUAUGUAGGUGGUUUCCUUGAAAAAAUAGCACCUGCUAUUUGUUAAGGAGAGAAUGAAUUACUUGUCCCAUGGUACAGUUAAAUCAAUCAUAUCAUAACACCAAUCUAUCAUGUAAAAUUCAUCUCUAGGCCCAUGUUUUGAGGAAAGAAAAUGGCAGUUAAUAUUCCUAUUGCUGACUACUUAUUCAAGAGAAGAAAAAGACAUGUUUAUGUGGUUCUAAAAUAACUUCCUUAAGCCCAUUAUCAAAUUCUAACAAGGAAGACCAUCCAUCCUAAGGAAGUUAUUUUAUAAAUCAUAAUUUGCUUUUAUUAAAAAAAAAUUACCAAACUGCAUUCCAAGAAACACAGAGUCCUGUGGGUU
rnacentral:lncRNA from 1 species